GAGACACACACCCAGAGCAAUGCGCCACACAACCCCAAAGGGCUCUCUCCAGGUUACCUGCCUGAGGCAUCUCCCCAUCAUACUAGACCAAAACUCAGCACAAAGGUUCUACGUGCACAAAGAUCCUGUGUGUCCACAGAUACUGGUCUGACAUGCAGUGGGCGUUCAUCAAAUAUUAAGCUCUCUCCAGCUGCCUUCCCUACAGCUCUGUUCACCAGCCUUUGCCUGAGGUAAGCUGGGAAUGCUGGUGAGUAGGCUUCCCAUUCUG
rnacentral:lncRNA from 1 species